rnacentral:piRNA from 1 species
UAUGAUGGAUGUUGGCUCCAACUUCAUGUA